UGUACCAUCCAUCAAUGGAGGGGUUAGUGUCUGACACAGCGGGGUGCUUCCUAGAUAUGCUUUGCUCUGUGGCUGGUGUCCCUUGCUCUGGACCUCCAUUAAUUCAUCUACACAGUGGAAAAAGCAACACUUGCUCUGCCUUUGUCAUUGGGCUGAGAUUGUCUUGUUGGUUCCCUGCUCCCUGAACCAUCACAUCAACACUUUUCUGCCUGGCACAGAGUUUUUGGUCUUCCCAAACUUCGUUCCCUAACUCAGCUCUUCCACAUGAAAAAUACAAAGAAGAAAACAAAGAUGGCCUGUAAAUCCCACUGCAAGAUAACUGAGCUCCCUUCUUUUGCCCAUCAGAGCUUUCUUAAAGGUCCCUGUAUUCUUCUGGAAAACAAAAGUUACAGACCCUGAGAGGUGACUGCUGUCAUACUCUGAAGACUGGUGAAAUUAGGAGCCUGUGUAAGAGUGGAAGCCAGUCCCAUGGAGCUGUAAAGGAGAACAUCUGCUCUGAAAGCAUCUUGACCGAGAGGAGAGUUAUCAG